rnacentral:rRNA from 1 species
UUAAGCGAAUAAGCGUACACGGUGGAUGCCUAGGCAAUCAGAGGCGAUGAAGGACGUGCUAAUCUGCGAUAAGCGUCGGUAAGGUGAUAUGAACCGUUAUACCCGACGAUUUCCGAAUGGGGAAACCCAAUAUCCAAUGGAUAUUAUCAUUAACUGAAUACAUAGGUUAAUGAAGCGAACCGGGAGAACUGAAACAUCUCAGUACCCCGAGGAAAAGAAAUCAACCGAGAUUCCCCUAGUAGCGGCGAGCGAACGGGGAACAGCCCAGAGUCUUAAUCAAUAGCAGCAUCAGGAGAACGGUCUGGAAAGUCCGGCAGUAAAGGGUGAUAGCCCCGUAUCCGAAGAUGCUGUUAUUGUGAACUCGACGAGUAGGGCGGGACACGUGUUAUCCUGUCUGAAUAUGGGGGGACCAUCCUCCAAGGCUAAAUACUCCUGAUUGACCGAUAGUGAACCAGUACCGUGAGGGAAAGGCGAAAAGAACCCCGGCGAGGGGAGUGAAAAAGAACCUGAAACCGUGUACGUACAAGCAGUAGGAGCCCCAUCACUCAAGUGCCUCGCACUGAGUGAUUGGACAAACCACUCGAAAACAGCNAACCCCGGCGAGGGGAGUGAAAAAGAACCUGAAACCGUGUACGUACAAGCAGUAGGAGCCCCACCACUAAGCUAGUGGUGAACUCACAGCGAUUCUUUUGCAUGAUAAUGUGCGGUAGACGGAGCGAAUGCGACGUCCAACCAACAAAAUCAAGCAGAGGAGGCUUAGUGGUGGGGUGACUGCGUACCUUUUGUAUAAUGGGUCAGCGACUUAUAUUCUGUAGCAAGGUUAACCGUAUAGGGGAGCCGUAGGGAAACCGAGUCUUAACUGGGCGAAUGAGUUGCAGGGUAUAGACCCGAAACCCGGUGAUCUAUCCAUGGGCAGGUUGAAGGUUGGGUAACACUAACUGGAGGACCGAACCGACUAAUGUUGAAAAAUUAGCGGAUGACUUGUGGAUGGGGGUGAAAGGCCAAUCAAACCGGGAGAUAGCUGGUUCUCCCCGAAAGCUAUUUAGGUAGCGCCUCGUGAACUCAUCUUCGGGGGUAGAGCACUGUUUCGACUAGGGGGUCAUCCCGACUUACCAACUCGAUGCAAACUGCGAAUACCGAAGAAUGUUAUCACGGGAGACACACGGCGGGUGCUAACGUCCGUCGUGAAGAGGGAAACAACCCAGACCGCCAGCUAAGGUCCCAAAGUCAUGGUUAAGUGGGAAACGAAGUGGGAAGGCUCAGACAGCCAGGAUGUUGGCUUAGAAGCAGCCAUCAUUUAAAGAAAGCGUAAUAGCUCACUGGUCGAGUCGGCCCGCGCGGAAGAUGUAACGGGGCUAAACCAUGCACCGAAGCUGCGGCAGCGACACUAAGUGUUGUUGGGUAGGGGAGCGUUCUGUAAGCCUGCGAAGGUGUACUGUGAGGUAUGCUGGAGGUAUCAGAAGUGCGAAUGCUGACAUAAGUAACGAUAAUGCGGGUGAAAAACCCGCACGCCGGAAGACCAAGGGUUCCUGUCCAACGUUAAUCGGGGCAGGGUGAGUCGACCCCUAAGGCGAGGCUGAAAAGCGUAGUCGAUGGGAAACGGNUAAGUAACGAUAAUGCGGGUGAAAAACCCGCACGCCGGAAGACCAAGGGUUCCUGUCCAACGUUAAUCGGGGCAGGGUGAGUCGACCCCUAAGGCGAGGCUGAAAAGCGUAGUCGAUGGGAAACGGGUUAAUAUUCCCGUACUGGUGGUAACUGCGAUGGGGGAACGGAGAAGGCUAGGUUGUCCGGGCGACGGUCGUCCCGGUUCAAGCAUGUAGGCAGAGUGAUUAGGCAAAUCCGGUCACUUAAUGCUGAGGUGUGAUGACGAACCACUAAGGUGGUGAAGCAAUUGAUGCCCUGCUUCCAGGAAAAGCCUCUAAGCUUCAGGUUACCAACAAUCGUACCCCAAACCGACACAGGUGGUCAGGUAGAGAAUACUCAGGCGCUUGAGAGAACUCGGGUGAAGGAACUAGGCAAAAUGGUGCCGUAACUUCGGGAGAAGGCACGCUGGCGGUAAGUGAAGUCCCUCGCGGACGGAGCCGAAGCCAGUCGAAGAUACCAGCUGGCUGCAACUGUUUAUUAAAAACACAGCACUGUGCAAACACGAAAGUGGACGUAUACGGUGUGACGCCUGCCCGGUGCUGGAAGGUUAAUUGAUGGGGUUAUCCUUAGGGAGAAGCUCUUGAUCGAAGCCCCAGUAAACGGCGGCCGUAACUAUAACGGUCCUAAGGUAGCGAAAUUCCUUGUCGGGUAAGUUCCGACCUGCACGAAUGGCGUAAUGAUGGCCAGGCUGUCUCCACCCGAGACUCAGUGAAAUUGAACUCGCUGUGAAGAUGCAGUGUACCCGCGGCAAGACGGAAAGACCCCGUGAACCUUUACUAUAGCUUGACACUGAACAUUGAGCCUUGAUGUGUAGGAUAGGUGGGAGACUAUGAAGUGUGGACGCCAGUCUGCAUGGAGUCAACCUUGAAAUACCACCCUUUAACGUUUGAUGUUCUAACCUAGGUCCAUAAUCUGGAUCGGGGACCGUGUCUGGUGGGUAGUUUGACUGGGGCGGUCUCCUCCUAAAGAGUAACGGAGGAGCACGAAGGUUGGCUAAGCAUGGUCGGACAUCAUGCGGUUAGUGCAAAGGCAUAAGCCAGCUUGACUGUGAGAGUGACGGCUCGAGCAGGUACGAAAGUAGGUCUUAGUGAUCCGGUGGUUCUGAAUGGAAGGGCCAUCGCUCAACGGAUAAAAGGUACUCCGGGGAUAACAGGCUGAUACCGCCCAAGAGUUCAUAUCGACGGCGGUGUUUGGCACCUCGAUGUCGGCUCAUCACAUCCUGGGGCUGAAGUAGGUCCCAAGGGUAUGGCUGUUCGCCAUUUAAAGUGGUACGCGAGCUGGGUUUAGAACGUCGUGAGACAGUUCGGUCCCUAUCUGCCGUGGGCGUUGGAAGAUUGAGAGGGGUUGCUCCUAGUACGAGAGGACCGGAGUGAACGCACCACUGGUGUUCGGGUUGUCAUGCCAAUGGCAUUGCCCGGUAGCUAAGUGCGGAAGAGAUAACCGCUGAAAGCAUCUAAGCGGGAAACUUGCCUCGAGAUGAGUCUUCCCUGUCACCUAGAGUGACCUAAAGGAACGUUUAAGACUAAGACGUUGAUAGGCUGGGUGUGUAAGCGUAGCGAUACGUUGAGCUAACCAGUACUAAUGAACCGUGAGGCUUAACCU